rfam:Xenopus laevis strain J chromosome 2L, whole genome shotgun sequence.
AUAAAGGAUUUUCUCAAAUCCACUCAGGAUCACAGCAUGUAAAGU